rnacentral:rRNA from 1 species
UGGGGAAUAUUGCACAAUGGGCGCAAGCCUGAUGCAGCCAUGCCGCGUGUGAAGAAGGCCUUCGGGUUGUAAAGCACUUUCAGCGAGGAGGAAGGUGGUGAACUUAAUACGUUCAUCAAUUGACGUUACUCGCAGAAGAAGCACCGGCUAACUCCGUGCCAGCAGCCGCGGUAAUACGGAGGGUGCAAGCGUUAAUCGGAAUUACUGGGCGUAAAGCGCACGCAGGCGGUUUGUUAAGUCAGAUGUGAAAUCCCCGGGCUCAACCUGGGAACUGCAUUUGAAACUGGCAAGCUAGAGUCUCGUAGAGGGGGGCUAGAAUUCCAGGUGUAGCGGUGAAAUGCGUAGAGAUCUGGAGGAAUACCGGUGGCGAAGGCGGCCCCCCUGGACGAAGACUGACGCUCAGGUGCGAAAAGGCGUGGGGGCAGCAAAACAGGAUUAGAUACCCCUGGUUAGUCCACGCUGUAAACGAUGUCGAUUUUGGAGGUUUGUGCCCCUUGAGGCCGUGGCUUCCGGAGCUAACGCGUUAAAUCGACCGCCUGGGGAGUACGGCCNCAAGGUUAAAACUUAAAUGAAUUGCGGGGUCUAGCUG